UACGUAGGUGGCAAGCGUUGUCCGGAAUUACUGGGCGUAAAGGGCGAGUAGGCGGUUUUACAAGUCAGAUGUGAAAUGCAUGGGCUCAACCCAUGGACUGCAUUUGAAACUGUAAGACUUGAGUGCGGUAGAGGAAAGUGGAAUUCCCAGUGUAGCGGUGAAAUGCGUAGAUAUUGGGAGGAACACCAGUGGCGAAGGCGACUUUCUGGGCCGUAACUGACGCUGAGGCGCGAAAGCGUGGGGAGCAAACAGG
rnacentral:rRNA from 1 species